GGCUGGUCCGAAGGUCGUGAACUAUCUCACUUGAUCAUUCUCAGUCAGUUACAGACUGGACUCCUUGUUCUACUAUUUUUCCCCUUCUCACUACUGCACUUGACUAGUCUAAG
rnacentral:Y_RNA from 1 species